CUCGGUGAUUAAGUCCUAUGUAAACAUAAUGAUCUAGAUUUUGAAAUACGACGAAUCGGACUAUCAUUCCGCCGCUGUUUGUUGAAAGAUGGCGGAGUCUGCAGGUUCAUCGCCUGCCACGCCAGAAGAACACAUAGUGACGUCCGAAACUCCCGAACAAGCCUCGUUCUCGGUGGGAAAACACAUCCACACAGUCAGCCUAUCGCAGACGACAUUGACAUGGCAAAGAUACAACAAGAAAUCCGCAGAGACCAAUAGCGCCCGACUACGGGACCUGAUCGCAGUGGACGUCAAGGACGCUACAACAAACGAAAUCAGAUCUAAAAUGGCAGUCGUCUACGUGACACAGAAGAAAGACUUCCUUCUCAGACGCGUUCAAGUGACGUUUGAUGGAGAGAGGGACCGCUGUGAAUCUUUCAGACGGAAGAUGCAGGAGGCGAUUGAUACUUGCAAAGACAGACCACGACGACUUCUGGUGUUGAUCAAUCCAGUCAGUGGGUUUUCAACUGGCGUAAAGAAGUACCGCAAUGUCGUCGCUCCCAUCUUUGAAGAGGCUAAACUUGAAACAGACGUCAUUGUUACUGAAAAGGCCCACCAUACUGAAGAAAUUCUUGCUACCUAUGAUCUCAAGUCCAUUAAUGGCCUGGUAAUUGUGAGCGGUGAUGGAAUGUACCACGAGGCGGCCAAUGGAUUGGUUCGGCGAGUAGCGACCGAUACCGGAAAUGACGUCAACAAUCCGGAUUACGAGCCGCCCGAAUUUCCGGUCACUAUAGGUCUCAUACCGUGUGGCACGGGUAACGGGAUUGCUCGGGCUGCGGUUGGUAACUACGAUGUUGUGUCGGCAGCCUACUCUGUUAUCUUAGGUUACAAAUGGAAGAACAACUUAUUCAGGGUGUUCUCAAACAGGAAGUUGGUGACGUACAAAUCACUGUUGUCAGGGUUCGGGUUAUGGGGUGACGUCAUCUAUAGCGCCGAGAUGCGCCGAAGCAUGGGCGUUCUGCGAUAUCCAGUCACGUUAAUUGAGCGAAUUUUCUUCAAGUCGUUUCGGCGAAUGUCGCUUACGCUGAAAUUCCGAGCGCCUCCGGAAUAUUCUGAGAGUAACGACAACGCUUUCCGGACGGGUGGCCGAGAUACGGCGGAAAAUCCCGAGGGCGAAUCGAGCGCGAUCAAAUCUAACACAAUGCAAACAGCUGACGGCAUGACAACGAUAACCGAGGAGUUCAUUGCUUCCAUCUGCUUUUGCAACCCCUUCAAAUCCAUCAACCAGGUGUUUAUACAACCUGGCUAUCAACCAGAGACCACAGUUUCCGAUCUGCUUCUCUGUCGGCCAUGCACAAAGAUGCAGUUCAUCAAAUUCUUCGCCAAGUUUAUAAACUUCUCUGAUGAAUUUACAGAGAACGUAAACGAAAAGUUCCCAUUGGUGAAAGUAAGCGAGUACGAAGUGACGUUGAACAAUGCUAGUCCGCCAGACACGGACGCAGGACGCAGGGAACGUGUUAUGAAUGUUGACGGCGAGCCAUACCAUCUUGAGGAGCCGAACUUUCAUGUCAAGUAAGAAGUCAAUACUUUUCCGCCAGGGAAGUACGCGAGACGUAGGGAUGGCGUUAUGAACGUUGACUACGGGCCACACCAUGUAAAGGAGCCUUCCGUGUCAAGUUAUUUCCGGGAAGGAUUCCAGUCUUCUGCAACAUCCCUAGCGUCACGGGUCGUCCAUCGCCAACCAAGUGAUAAUAUCUACCUGAGCUAAAUAAAAGAUGGAUCAACACCUUAUGUUCCCUCGUCUGCUUUUCAAAAUAAGGGCGUCAAUACCUCAGGUUCCCUCGUCUGCUUUUCAAAAUAAGGGCGUCAAUACCUCAUGUUCCCUCGUCUGCUUUUCAAAAUAAGGGCGUCAAUACCUCAUGUUCUCUUGUCUGGUUUUUAAAAUAAAGGCGCCAAUACCUCAUGUUCUCUUUUCUGCUUUUUAAAAUAAGGGCGCCAAUACCUCAGGUUCUCUAGUUUGGUUUUCAAAAUAUGGGCGCCAAUACCUUUUGUCUCUCUUCUGCUUUUUAAAAUAAGGGCGCCAACAGCUCAUGUUCUCUAAUCUGGUUUUCAAAAUAAGUACGCCAAUACAUCAUGUUCUCUUGUCUAGUUUUCAAAAUAAAGGCGCCAAUACCUCAUGUUCUCUCUUCUGCUUUUUAAAAUAAGGGCGCCAAUACCUCAUGUUCCCUAGUCUGGUUCUCAAAAUAAGGGCGCCAUUACCUCAUGUUCUCUCGUCUGGUUUUCAAAAUAUGGGCGCCAAACCCUUAUGUUUCUCUUCUGCUUUUCAAAAUAAGGUCGCCAACAUAUAUCUUGACUUUGACGGGUCAAUAAUGGCUUGUAUUAUUGGCCGUAUUUUUACACUAUUAAAGAUAAAUUAAUUUAGGGGUAUCCGACCCACAUAUAUUAUGUGGAUUUUGUAUGCCUUGUGUCCCUAUAUUAGCUUGGUAUCACCAGAAAGGAUUUUGAAAUGUUUUUGUCCGCAGAAAAAAUAAAAUAAAAAAAAUAUUCACCGAAAAUAAUAUAACAAAUAGGUUUUUCGGCAUUCAAAGAUUACAAAACACUUCAUUUACGUAAUUUAUUUUUGAAAUAAAGAGCAAAUAAACUUACUGUUAUUCGUAAUAUACGAUGUUCUUUCGGUCGCUUAAUUUACAUAUUUAUACAUAUACAAAUCAGUGUCCGUCAUACAGCGGCGGAUCCAGGACUUUCUAAAUGGGGGGGGGGCACAACUAAUUAUAAACAUAUCAAACCUUUUUUGAGUGCAUUAUUUUAAUCAUAUAAUGACAUGGAAUUAACAUUUGUCUUCACUGUCAAUAAUGUUUGGCAGAUAAAUUGAAUCAAAAAGAUAUAAUUUACUGAGAUAAGCCGUUUUGGGAAAUCGAACCAGGGUCGACGGAUAAACAGGCUAAGUCGUAAACCACUCGUCCUCCUGAGACACACAUAUUUAAUUUAAAAGUAGUGCUAUAUAAACCUACAUUACAGUAUAUUGAUUGCACUCAACGAUACUGUAGGUACUUCGGAUGUCAUUGUUAUAAAUUUAAGUUAACUGAAGUAAAAACAACUUGACAACAAAUUCCAAAAAAGGGUUUCAAAUAAAUUAUUAUGUAUUAAUUUACAAAGGCUCUAGCACAAUUCAGAGAACUAAACGAUAAUAAAAGCCUAAAUGGAAAGUUUCAAAGCGGCAACGUUUUGAAUUUAAACUUUUGUUAAAUGCACAUCAUGCACACACAUAUCUUGUUGGCACACAAUGACAAUAUUAAAAGCAAUGACGAACAUAUAAUGUGCACAUGUUAACAGUUUAAAACAACUUAUAUUUCUGGUAUAUGAUAUAUUCUGAAAACAGUAAACUUACGCGUAUAACUGCAGCCAUAUUUGUCUACUUUUGAUCAGCUGUCUGUGUAAAAUUAGGCGCCGAUUUUUUUUGAUCAAAGGUUCGGGCCUCGAUGUCAUAUUUCAAAAAGACUUUCGUUUCGUAUACUAUAUUAUACUCGAUAAUCAGGUUGUUUAUUUGCUCAAAUGCUUAUAUAAAAUUUAAAUUGUGACAAAACAACUUAGUUGUACAGUUAAAUCAAUAAAGAUGUGCCCCCAAAAAACAUUACUUGCCGGCCCGCUGGGGGGGGUGCACGGGCCCUAUGUGCCCCCCGGUAGACCCGCCACUGGUCAUAGGUACCGCUUACGACAUAGAAUGGUUAAAAGGCCCCGGCUAUUACUAUAACGAAUAAUAAUAGUUUACUACAACUUGAAAUAAGAAUCAUUCGAUCGAAAGAAAUAUCGAAUGUUCGCAUAUCAAUUUUGCCAUUCGCUUGCAACCUUAAAUUAUAGUCAUAAGGCACCGAAUAGGUUUUGAAAAAUGCCAAAAUUAUAUGGGGUCACCAGGCUUCAAAAGUUAGAACUUAUGUUUAUGCAGUUAUCAGAGAGCGACCUUAUCUGUUUAUCGGAUUGCUUAAAGCUGCACUCUCACAGACUGACCGUUUGACCAUUUGUUUUGCUUGGAAUAACCAAGUUUUGGAAACCAGUGAUAUAAGAAUGCUGACUAAAGAUCAGAUCGCAAUGUGGGUGUCAAACUUUAGCCAUGUCUUUCCAACUAUCUAACCCGUAUAUUAUCACAUAUAUAACUUUAUUUUGCACAUAAUGCAAAUUAUGGUCAUUUAUUAUUCGACUGAGAAACUCUAGUUAAGGUUAAUUCAGCAACCUCUUGAUGUAUUUUAUUGAAACUAUAUACAUGGACUAUGAAACCGUACAACGCUAUUAUGUAAUUACUUCUGAUUCUAAUCUUGCAUAUAAUGCAAAAUAUGGCCCUUUAUUACUCGACUAAGGACUUCAGGUUAAAAGUGGGGAAAUGGUCGCGCAUGUUGUCUCCAUGGCAGCUCUUGUUUUAUGCAUUAUAAUGUUCACAUUUACAUUUUUCAAUAUUAUUUCACAUAUAUCUGAUAAUGUUGUUUUUAACACCAGAAUUCAAUGUCAAUCCUGCAAGGUAAAUACAUACAGUCGAACCCCGUUGGCUCGAACUCCCCGGGACCGGCGCAAAAACCUCGAGUCUCGGAAAAUUGGAGACAAGCGAGAAUGCUUACAUUUAUUAGAAAAAAUUCGAUACUUUACAUCCAUUUCGAGCCAGCGAGGUAUUCGAGCCAUCGGGGUUCGACUGUAACUGUAGGUUCUUUCUGGUGCUAGACUGACUGUUUGUUCUGUAAUGAUGAUUCUUUGUCUGAUAUGUAAGGUGCUUUGUAUUGUGCAAUCUUUCAUUAAAAUUAUGUUUGUGGUUUGAUUAUUAUGCCAUAUUUAUACGUUUAUUUAGAUAUGUUAUAUAUUUUAAGCUAUAAGUGUUGUAAAGGUUUUGGUAGACAUGGUUUUGUAAGCAUAUUUAAUUCAAUAACACACAAUUAUUGUC